AACCCGUUAAGCAAGCCGCCUGGAAAGUACGGCCGCAAGGCUGAAAUUCAAAGGAAUUGGUGGGGAGGCACACAACCAGUGGAACAUGUGGUUUAAUUCGAGACUAACCGAAGAACCUCACCAGGGUUUGACAUGUAGCUGCACGUCUUAAGAAAUUAAGACUCUCUUGAAGGUGCUACACAGGUGCUGCAUGGCUGUCGUCAGCUCGUUCCGUGAGGAGUGCCCUUAAGUGGGACAACGAGCGCAACCCCUAUUACAUGUUAGAAAUGUCAUGUAAGACUGCCUUGCCAUUUGGCGGGGAGGAAGGAGGGGCAGACGUCAAGUCCGCAUGGUCCUUAUGCCCUGGGCUACACACAUGUUACAAUGAGUACGGCAAUGAGUCUGUCGCGAGCACGUAAGUGUAAGCUAGUCUCUUAAAUGUACUCUCAGUGGGGAUUGAGGUCUGCAACUCGACCUCAUGAACACGGAAUUGGUAGUAAUCGCGGGUCAGCUAUACCGCGGUGAAUACGUUCUUGCCUCUUGCACACACCGCCCGUCAAACCAGCAAAGUCGAUUGUAUCCGAACCUCUCUUUU
rnacentral:rRNA from 1 species